GAUGAACGCUGGCGGCGUGGUUAAGGCAUGCAAGUCGAGAGGGUUUAGACCCUCGGCAAACGGGCUAGUAACACGUAGGAACUUACCCUGAAGUCGUGAAUAAUCUGGAGAAAUCCAGAAUAAUACACGAUGUACUCUACGGAGUAAAGAUUUAUCGCUUCAGGAGAGGCCUGCGUCCUAUCAGCUUGUUGGUGAGGUAAUAGCUCACCAAGGCUAUGACGGGUAGGGGGCGUGAGAGCGUGACCCCCAGCAUUGGGACUGAGACACUGCCCAAACUCCUACGGGAGGCUGCAGUCGAGAAUCUUCCACAAUGGACGAAAGUCUGAUGGAGCGACGCCGCGUGCAGGAUGACGGCCUUCGGGUUGUAAACUGCUUUUCUUAGGGAACAAUUUCGAUGAGGGUACCUAAGGAAUAAGAGGUUACUAACUCUG
rnacentral:rRNA from 1 species